rnacentral:rRNA from 1 species
UUCAGACGAUGCGUCAUGCAUAUCAAUAAGCGGAGGAAAAGAAACUAACUAGGAUUCCCUCAGUAACGGCGAGUGAAGCGGGAAGAGCUCAAAUUUGAAAUCUUCAAGGGUUCUACCUUUACGAAUUGUAGUUUAAAGAAGUGUUUUCUGUUAGAGUUUCGGUAAAAGUUCUUUGGAAUAGGACAUCAUAGAGGGUGAGAAUCCCGUAUUUGACCGUUAUUUCCUAGCUUUGUGAUACACUUUCAAAGAGUCGGAUUGUUUGGGAAUGCAGUCCAAAAUGGGUGGUAAAUUUCAUCUAAAGCUAAAUAUUGGCGAGAGACCGAUAGCGAACAAGUACCGUGAGGGAAAGAUGAAAAGAACUUUGAAAAGAGAGUUAAACAGUACGUGAAAUUGUCAAAAGGGAAGCGUUUGACACCAGUGUUGUUUUCUCGAAAAUCAAUUAAAAAAGGCAGGAUUUUGUGUUGUAUUGACUUUAUCAGCUUUCUGCACUCUUUUCUUGUCUUUUUUUAAUGCACUUUUCGUUUAACAAGUCAACAUCAAUUUCUUUUGUUGUAAAAGGGUCAUUGGAAGGUGGCUUUCUUUUCGGAGAAAGUGUUUAUAGCCUUUGGCCUCUGCAAUCGGAGAGAUUGAGGUCUGCAGCGUAGAUCCUUCGGGGUUAGAUACAUUUGUGCUAAGUUAUAGCCUUUCAUAGACAACUUGUUGACUAUGAUCAGUCAUGUAGCUUACUCGCUUAUGCUAUUUUACCUACGCUUAGGAUGUUGAUCUACAGAGCGAGAGU